UUUCUCUUCAUCUCUGGGCAUCGGUCUGUCUCGCCCGCCCGCGCCGUUGCGCUUCUGCUCAGCCCAUCGUCGCCGUGUCGCCUCCACUCGUCGCUGUCUAAUUCCUGCCUUCGCCUCCGAAGCAUCCGCCAUCUUUAUGCGUUCAACGCCCCUCCAGCUACUCCUCAUCGCCUCCUCUCUCUCUCUUUCUCUCUCUCUCUCUACUUGGACAUGCUCUCGCGGCUUUUCGCCUGCAAGUGUACUCGUGAAAAAUUGAAACUUCGAUUGGGCUUUUGAGAGUUGCGAUACUCGAUUGUGAAGGGAAAAGGAAUUCGGUUUUUUACCCUCCCCUCGCGCAGCGCUGAAUUCUCCUAGCGACGGAAGGGAAAAAUCGAGUGAAUUGAAGCGAGGACGUUUCCAGCAUGAGUUCAGGUCUUAUUGAACGGCAACAAUUCCGGUCUUUCUCUUAGAAGCAUCAUCCGUAGUGGCAAUUCUCUUGCUUUAGGAGGCGUUUGGAGUCCUCUCAAUGCUCGAAACCCAACUAAAACAGCAGGGUUCUUGAGUUGCAAAUCAAUGUCGACGAAUUCGCCGGUGGUGCGAGUGAGGGAGAAGAUCGAUUUGACGGAGAAGGAGAAGAUGAUCUUUGAGAGGCUUCUUGCCACCGUUCGCCAUUUUGAUCUCUCCACCCAGCUGCGGGUCACUGGUGGCUGGGUCCGUGAUAAGAUGCUGUCUCCAUUCUGACUGGAUAUUUUGCGGCAAACUAGACCAGUCGAAACAUCUGGAAAGAGCGAGGAUGCGCCUCUAUGAUAUAUGGAUAGAUUUGUGAACUUAAGGUCUGAAAAGUACAAUGAGAAUAGCCACAUUCCCACCCAGAUGGCACGAGGUUCAGAUUUACGUUGGAUGAAGAGCUGAAGAGAGCUGCCACGUCCAAUGAUGUCAAAGAUGCACUUGCAGCUAAAAUCAGUGACGAGCGCACUAGUAACAGAAGCAUGAGUCUCUAACUUUCCUCUAUUGGCUGCUUUAUCUCGUAUAAUUGUUUUUUGGUGGAAGUUCUUGUACAUUUGGCCUUUAUCUUUUCUCUCAACAUCUGUAUAUGAUUUGUAUUUUCCGUUUGAAUGUUACUUCUCAUUAAUGAGAUGCGAUCAAAGUUUUUCCUCUUC